GGGGGGGUUGGGAAGUAAGAGAAAAUGAGGAAGAGAACAAAUGCACUUGAGACCUAAGGUGAAGAGAUACAGAAUCACCACUGUUGUCCGGGAAUGGUGAUGACAGGGUUGACAUUCAAGAAGGAAAAACUGUAAUUCUAAUUAAGCAUCUGUCUGGCUGCUGAGCUGAAAGAAGACCAUAAGGAAGCAAGAGUGAAAGCAGGUCGGCUACUGCAAUAAUCCACUUGAGAUGAUGGUGGCUGAGACCAGAGUGAUAAUAAUGGGGUGGUAAGAAGAGAGAAUUCUUGAUACACCUUGAAGGGAACAAAGCCUUGAUGACAGCACAUCUGGUUACAAAAUGGUUUACUGAAUAUUUGGAGCCCAUUGUUGAGACCUACAGCUCAGGAAAAGAUUCCUUUCGAAAUAUUACUGCUGACAAUGCACUUGGUCACCCAAGAGCUCUGAUGGAGAUGAACAAUGAGAUUUAUGUUGUUUUCACGCCUGCUAACAUAAUACCCACUCUACAGCCCAUGGCUUACGGAAUCAUUUUGACCUUCAAGUCUCAUUAUUUAAGAAAUAUGUUUUGUAAGGCUAUAGCUGCCAUAGACAGUGAUUCCUCUGAUAGAUCCGGGCAAAGUAAACUGAAAACUUUCUGGACAUGAUUCACCAUUCUAGAUGCCAUUAAACACAUUUGUAAUUCAUGGGGAGAGGUCAAAAUACCAACAUUAAGAGAAGUGAGAAAGAAGUGGAUUCCAGCCCUCACAGACAACUUUGAGGUGGUUCAAGACUUCAGUGGACGAAGUCACUGCAGAUGUAGUGGGGACAGCAGAACUACAAUAAGAAGCAGAGCCUGAAGAAGUGACUGAAAUGGGUCAUCUCCUGCUAAAACUAACAGAUGAGGGAAAAAAGUGGUCUUUUUGAGAUGGCAUUUACUGCUGGUGAAGAUGCUGUGAAGAUUGCUCAAAUGACAAUAAAUGAUGUAGAAUAUUAUAUAAACUUAGUUGAGAAACCAGUGGCAGGAUGUGACGGACUCCAAUUUUGAAAGAAGUUCUACUGUGGGUAAAAUGCUAUCAAACAGCUUUGCGUGCGACAAAGAAAUCGUUUGUGAAAGAGUCAGCUGAUGUAGCAAACUUCAUUGUUUUAAGAAACUGCCACAACCUUUAGCAACCACCUCCCCGAUCGGUCAGCAGCCAUCCACAUCAAGGCAAGAUCUUCCACCAGCGCAGAGACUGUGACUCACAGAAAGCUCAGAUGAUGGCUAGCAGUUUUGGCAACAAAGUGUUUUUUAAUUAAGGGAGGUUCCCUCCAGAGGAAGGACAGAAGCCUACCCAAUUGGGAAAGGGACAGCAGCUCCCAAAAGAAGAGGCUGUUACCAAAUAAGAGAUGUUUAGAAGUACACUUAGAGGGCAGGUCCAGGAACGGGGUCUGGAGCCUUGAAAGCAGAAGAGAAACUAGAGUAAACUAGAGGCAGGCGGAACGAGAAACGUGACCAGGUAACACUAUGAGAUCUAAUGGCAAUGAUGCAAUGAUGUAGUCCCCAGUGCGUCUCACACAAGAUAUUCUGAGGCGGAAAAAGGAUCUCCUAAGUUGCAAGUUCCCAGAAGAUGCCAUUUACAUGAGUUAAGUCGCUGUCUUUCUUUACCCAACUCUACUCUCGACUUCCAGUUCCAGCUACUGAAACAGUGGCCUUCGUGAGACCUGUGAUCGCUUUCAGCAGCAGACUGUCCAACGUGGGACCACAGACAAUAGCCGAAAGAGAAAAACAGCAAAUCCACUUUCACUGGUCAAAUUAAAAUUGUAAAGUCCUCA